rfam:halophilic archaeon J07HX64 genomic scaffold scf_7180000098875, whole genome shotgun sequence.
ACUCAGUGGCUGCUAUGCCGCCUGGUGAAUGGCUCGGCUCGGAAGCCGAUGAAGGACGUGCCAAGCUGCGAUAAGCUCGAGGGACCCGCAAGGAGGGGAAGAACUCGAGAUAUCCGAAUGGGAAUCCCCACCGCAAUUGCUUCGCGCAAUGGGGAACGCCCCGAACUGAAACAUCUUAGUAGGGGCAGGAAGAGAAAGCGCAAUGCGAUGUCGUUACUAACUGCGGGUGAACGCGACACAGCCCAAACCGAAGCUCUCACGAGCAAUGUGGUGCACGGGCUGACAAUAAUCGUCCGAACGCCGUCGUGAAGUCCCCUGAAAUGGGGCGCGAAACAGGGUGACAGCCCCGUAUCGACGACAAGUACGACGUGUGUCAGUUCCAGAGUAGCGUGGGUUGGAAAUCCUACGUGAACAUGGCAGGCAUCGACUGCCAAGGCUAAACACUCUCCGAGACCGAUAGUGAACAAGUAGCGCGAGCGAACGCUGAAAAGUACCCUCCAACGGGAGGUGAAAUAGGGCCUGAAAUCAGGUGGCGAUCGAGCGAUGGGGCACAAAAGGUCCCGUGGAAAACGACAGUAGCGCGAGCUACCAGUAGGACCCACGGGAAGCCGCUGUUCCAUCGUACGUUUUGAAAAACGGACCAGGGAGUGUGUUUGCAUGGCGAGCCUAACCCGUCUACCGGGGGAGGCACAGGGAAACCAACAUGGCCGCAACGCUUUGCGUGAGGGCCGCCGUGUUCAAGCGCGGGGAGUCAUGCGGACACGACCCGAAUCCGGACGAUCUAUGCGUGGGCAAGGUGAAGCAUGGCGAAAGCCAUGUGGAAGCCUGUUAGGGCUGGUGUCUUACAAUACCCUCCCGUGACCUGCGCAUAGGGGUGAAAGGCCCAUCGAGUCCGGCAACAGCUGGUUCCGACCGAAACAUGUCGAAGCAUGACCUCCGCCGAGGUAGUCUGUGAGGUAGAGUGACUGAUUAUCGUGUCCGCCCUCGAGAGAGGUCGGCUCGGUUGUCAAACUCCGAACUCACAGACGCUGUCGACGCGGGGAGUCCGGUGCGCGGGGUAAGCCUGUGUACCAUAAGGGAGACAACCCAGCGCCGGGUUAAGGUCCCAAAGUGUGGAUUAAGUGCAAUCGAAGGUGGUCCCGAGCCCCAGACAGCCGGGAGGUGAGCUUAGAAGCAGCUACCCUCUAAGAAAAGCGUAAUAGCUUACCGGCCGAGGUUCGGGGCGCCCAAAAUUAUCGGGGCUCAAAUCCACCACCGAAACCUGGCCAUGCCCGUGACAGGGCAGUUGCGUAGGUCGGCGCUCCGCGUGGGCGGAAGCACGGGCGAGAGCUCGCGUGGACCACGCGGAGACGAAAAUCCUGGUCGUAGUAGCAGCGAAAGUCGGGUGUGAAUCCCGACGGCCGAAAGAGCAAGGGUUCCUCGGCACUGUUCGUCAACCGAGGGUUAGCCGGUCCUAAGAGACAUCGCAACUCGAAUGUCUCAAAAGGGAAACUGGUUAAUAUUCCAGUGCCAUCAUACAACAGAAGCCAACGCCCCGGGGUCGACCGAACCGGGCACUCGCCCGGUCGAACUGUCCAAGUUCGUGGAAGCCGUAACGGCACGAAGCGGACGAACGGCAGGAUAGCGAAAGUCGGUUCAACCUGGGGCCCGUGAAAAGGCGAGUAUGAUGUCCGUACCGAGAUCCGACACAGGUGCCCAUGGCGGCGAAAGCCUAGGCCUGUCGGGAACAACCGACGUUAGGGAAUUCGGCAAGUUAGUCCCGUACCUUCGGAAGAAGGGAUGCCUGCUCGGGAAACGAGCAGGUCGCAGUGACUCGGACGCUCCGACUGUCUAAUAACAACAUAGGUGACCGCAAAUCCGCAAGGACUCGUACGGUCACUGAAUCCUGCCCAGUGCGGGUAUCUGAACACCUAGUACAAUAGGACGAAGGACCCGUUAACGGCGGGGGUAACUAUGACCCUCUUAAGGUAACAAUCGUUGCCUUAGUAAAAUUCGGCUAUAUGCUGGAACAUCUGGUUAGUAUCCCACGCUACCAGUAGAACAAAGUAACACUGGUUCUACGGUAACAAUGCGAUGGAUGCAGACAACCAGCAGGAAAGUCUAGAUUCGGAUUGGAUAACCGGGUUUGUGGAUGGAGAAGGUUGCUUCUACGUUGGAAUCAAUCGGAUUGAGAAAAUGAGCUUGGGAUGGCAAGUCCUUCCCGAGUUCAGGGUGACACAACACGAACGCGACGUGGUGUUGCUCGAACGAAUCCGAGACGAUUUCGGCUUUGGAAGUGUCCGACCAAAUCAUGGAGACCGGAUGGACUACCGUGUUCGUGGACUGGACAACCUCAACGAGGUUGUCGAGUUCUUCGAGCGCCAUCCGCUCCAAUCGAAAAAACGGUCCGACUUCGAAACCUUUGCAGAGAUCAUCGAGAUGAUGAACGACGACCUCCAUCUCACGAAAUCCGGAUUAGACCGAAUCGCUCGCCUCGCUUCAACGAUGAACGAGGGAGUGACCCGAUCCUAUCUAGAAUCCUCAGAGACCGUAUGCCGAACACCCGAUUCCGGGUGAAGAGACGGCCCGAUCUUCACGGCGACGUGGAGAGACUGGCUCACGCCAGUCCGCCCCAUCCGGGGUCAGUACCCAUCGCGGGGAAAGUAACAGCAUGAGCGUAGUACCUUGCCGCUUUAGUAGCGGCUUGCAUGAAUGGAUGAACGAGAGCGUCACUGUCCCAACGUUGGGCCCGGUGAACCGUACUUUCCAGUGCGGAGUCUGGAGACUCCCAGGGGGAAGCGAAGACCCUAUGGAGCUUUACUGCAAGCUGUCGCUGAGACGUGGUCGCUGAUGUGCAGGGUAGGUAGGAGUCGUUACCGAGGCCCGUGCGCCAGCACGGCGCCCAGACACACAUGAAACACUACCCGUCAGUGACUGCGACUCUCACUCCGGGAGGAGUACACCGGUAGCUGGGCAGUUUGACUGGGGCGGUACGCGCUUGAAAAGAUAUCGAGCGCGCCCCAAGGCCAUCUCAGCCGAGUCGGAAACUCGGCGUAGAGCGCAAGAGCAAAAGAUGGCUUGACAGUGUUCUUCCCAACGAGGAACGCUGACGCGAAAGCGUGGUCUAGCGAACUUAUCAGCCCGCUUGAUGCGGGCGAUAAAUGACAGAAAAGCUACCCUAGGGAUAACAGAGUCGUCACCCGCAAGAGCACAUAUCGACCGGGUGGCUUGCUACCUCGAUGUCGGUUCCCUCCAUCCUGCCCGUGCAGAAGCGGGCAAGGGUGAGGUUGUUCGCCUAUUAAAGGAGGUCGUGAGCUGGGUUUAGACCGUCGUGAGACAGGUCGGCUGCUAUCUACUGGGAGUGUUUUGGUGCCUGACGGGAACGCCCGUAUAGUACGAGAGGAACUACGGGUGGUGGCCACUGGUGUACCGGUCGUCCGGAAGGGCGUUGCCGGGCAGCUACGCCACACGGGGUAACGGCUGAACGCAUCUAAGCCGGAAACCCACCUGGAAAAGAGGCACCGCUUUAGACCACUCGUACAAGACGAGGUCGAUAGACUCGGGGUGUACGUACCGAGGCAACGAGGUAUUCAGCCCGCGAGCACUAAUUGGUCGAAGCCACCAAUC